GGUUCGAUCCUGGCUCAGAUUGAACGCUGGCGGGAUGCUUUACACAUGCAAGUCGAACGGCAGCACGGACUUCGGUCUGGUGGCGAGUGGCGAACGGGUGAGUAAUGUAUCGGAACGUGCCUAGUAGCGGGGAUAACUACGCGAAAGCGUAGCCAAUACCGCAUACCGCCCUUCGGGGGAAAGCGGGGGACCUUCGGCCUCUUGCACUAUUAGAGCGGCCGAUAUCGGAUUAGCUAGUUGGUGGGGUAACGGCUCACCAAGGCGACGAUCCGGUAGCUGGUUUGAGAGGACGACCAGCCACACUGGGACUGGUGACACGGCCCAGACUCCUACGGGAGGCAGCAGUGGGGAAUUUACCAAUGGGGAAACCCUGAUCCAGCCAUCCCGCGUGUGCGAUGAAGGCCUUCGGGUUGUAAAGCACUUUGGCAGGGAAAGAAACGGCACGGAUAAGCUCCCGUGCAACUGACGGUACCCGCAGAAUAAUAAGCACCGGCUAACUACGUGCCAGCAGCCGCGGUAAUACGUAGGGUGCAAGCGUUAAUCGGAAUGCUUUCGGGCGUAAAGGUGUGCGCAGGCGGUUCGGAAAGAAAGAUGAAAUCCCAGAGCUUAACUUUGGAACUGCAUUUUUAACUACCGAGCUAGAGUGUGUCAGAGGGAGGUGGAAUUCCGCGUGUAGCAGUGAAAUGCGUAGAUAUGCGGAGGAACACCGAUGGCGAAGGCAGCCUCCUGGGAUAACACUGACGCUCAUGCACGAAAGCGUGGGGAGCAAACAGGAUUAGAUACCCUGGUAGUCCACGCCCUAAACGAUGUCAACUAGCUGUUGGGGCCUUCGGGCCUUGGUAGCGCAGCUAACGCGUGGAGUUGACCGCCUGGGGAGUACGGUCGCAAGAUUAAACUCAAAGGAAUUGACGGGGACCCGCACAAGCGGUGGAUGAUGUGGAUUAAUUCGAUGCAACGCGAAAAACCUUACCUACCCUUGGACAUGUUCGCUUGAAUCCCGAAGAGAUUUUGGGAGUGCUCGCAAGAGAACCGGAACACAGGUGCCGCAUGGCUGUCGUCAGCUCGUGUCGUGAGAUGUUGGGUUAAGUCCCGCAACGAGCGCAACCCUUGUCAUUAGUUGCUACGAAAGGGCACUCUAAUGAGACCGCCGGUGACAAACCGGAGGAAGGUGGGGAUGACGUCAAGUCCUCAUGGCCUUGCGGUAGGGCUUCACACGUCAUACAAUGGUCGGGACAGAGGGCGCCAACCCGCGAGGGGGAGCCAAUCUCCAGAAACCCGAUCGUAGUCCGGAUCGCAGUCUGCAACCUCGACUGCGUAGUCGGAAUCGCUAGUAAUCGCGGAUCAGCAUGUCGCGGGUGAAUACGUUCCCGGGUCUUGUACACAACCGCCCGUCACACCAUGGGAGGCUUUACCAGAAGUAGUUAGCCUAACCGUAAGGAGGGCGAUUACCACGGUAGGAUUCAUGACUGGGUGAAGUCGUAACAAGGUAG
rnacentral:rRNA from 1 species